UGUCUCAUGGUGUAAUGGUAGCACGUCAGAUUCUGGAUCUGCCUGUCUAGGUUCGAAUCCUAGUGAGACAACCA
rnacentral:tRNA from 3 species